CUCGAGGACGAACGCUGGCGGCGUGCCUAAUACAUGCAAGUCGAACGGUCUUUCUAUGGAAGCUUGCUUCCACUGAGAAGAUAGUGGCGAACGGGUGAGUAACACGUGGGUAACCUGCCCAUAAGAGGGGGGAUAACAUCCGGAAACGGGUGCUAAUACCGCAUAGUUUUCUUGAUCGCAUGAUCGGGAAAGGAAAGACGGCCUUUGUGCUGUCGCUUAUGGAUGGACCCGCGGCGUAUUAGUUAGUUGGUGAGGCAACGGCUCACCAAGACGAUGAUACGUAGCCGACCUGAGAGGGUGAUCGGCCACAUUGGGACUGAGACACGGCCCAAACUCCUACGGGAGGCAGCAGUAGGGAAUCUUCCGCAAUGGACGAAAGUCUGACGGAGCAACGCCGCGUGAGUGAAAGAAGGUUUUCGGAUCGUAAAACUCUGUUGUCAGAGAAGAACAAGUUGGAGAGUAACUGCUCCAGCCUUGACGGUAUCUGACCAGAAAGCCACGGCUAACUACGUGCCAGCCGCCGC
rnacentral:rRNA from 1 species